AUACGGAGGGUGCAAGCGUUAUCCGGAAUCAUUGGGUUUAAAGGGUCCGUAGGCGGGCGAUUAAGUCAGAGGUGAAAUCCCACAGCUCAACUGUGGAACUGCCUUUGAUACUGGUUGUCUUGAGUUACAGUGAAGUAGAUAGAAUGUGUAGUGUAGCGGUGAAAUGCAUAGAUAUUACACAGAAUACCGAUUGCGAAGGCAGUCUACUAACUGUAUACUGACGCUAAUGGACGAAAGCGUGGGGAGCGAACAGGAUUAGAAACCCCGGUAGUCC
rnacentral:rRNA from 1 species